CAGUAGCCGCGGUAAUACGUAGGGUGCGAGCGUUAAUCGGAAUUACUGGGCGUAAAGCGUGCGCAGGCGGUUGUGUAAGACAGGUGUGAAAUCCCCGGGCUUAACCUGGGAACUGCGCUUGUGACUGCACAGCUAGAGUAUGGCAGAGGGGGGUGGAAUUCCACGCGUAGCAGUGAAAUGCGUAGAGAUGUGGAGGAACACCGAUGGCGAAGGCAGCCCCCUGGGCCAAUACUGACGCUCAUGCACGAAAGCGUGGGGAGCAAACAGGAUUAGAUACCCGCGUAGUCCCUGUCUCUUAUAC
rnacentral:rRNA from 1 species